ensembl:lncRNA
CAAAGGUGAACCUGUCUUCUGACCUCUGUGAGACCUCAAAACCAACAUUUUUGGACAAAAUCACCGUCCUGAACUUUGCAGUUGUUGGCUCCGAGGGAACCCUCUAAACAAAUGUGUACGUGGCUCUGAUUCAGCAGAGUCUAAGUUUGGCCUUGAACAGCUCUGGGAUGGGUACCAUGGCACACAGCUGCAGGAUGGCCCACUGCAUAUCAGGGAGCCCAUUAGCUGACUUCACACUCAGGCCCAUGCAACUGAAUCCUGAGAACUUCCAACUGCAGGCAUCUGUUUGCCCCAGGCCAGUGGCAAGCCUUGCAGAAAAAUCCUCCAUGCUGUGUGCUGAACUUCAGGAACUCUACUCACCACCAGCACCAGAAAGAAGGAAAGGGGAGAAGGGCCAACUUAUUUGUCAAGAAGAAAAUAAGAAACAGUUGAAGGGCCUGUACCAAGUCCCUGAAAAGCUGCCAGCAUACCUUGAAGACUCACAUCAUUCUUAUGAAGAUUCCAACGUAAAUCUAAAAAUCUACCAUCUGCUGGAUAACAUAACAUUAUGCUUGCCCAGGGAAGCUGGGAAGAGGUAGGGAACCAUUCUGGAAGCUUGGGCAUGAGAAGUGAACACAGGUAAGAAUAGUACAGUCAACGUCUUCCAGAUCUCAAUCUAUUUUUAUUUGUAUUUUAUUAUAAAAGUGAUCUGUAUCUUACACAAAGUUAUUUUAAAAUAGCAAAGUUUACCAAAGCUACUGAAUCUGAGGCCGAGGGAUUCACUGCCAAAAUGCAGAUUUACAUGGUAACCUGAGAGCCGAACACACUGAACACAAUUCUUCCAUUUUGUAAUAAUUCAUUACCAGAGCAAAACCAAUUGUACAUGUUUCCAAAUAUGUGAUAAAGAUAAAAUAACAAUUGCAGCCUUCACUGUGAAUUAACAAAGGCCCUACUCAAGAGUUCCUCAUUGUUUCUCUCAGAGUGAAACAUUUGAAGGAUUUUACAAAUCUUCUCAUAAAAGUUAAUAUUUUAGGCUUAUACACAACAUAUGUCUGCACAAACACAUCUAUUCUAACUCUAUACCCUUGAGUUUUUUACAAUUGCACCAUCUCAGUUAUAGUGAACAUGCAGGAGGCAUUCAUAAUUGUUUUUCUCAGCAGUAUUGUAAUAUACAAGUCAAAUGCAAAUCUUAAAUAUAAUAUAAAAUUCAAUUGGAUACCAUCUCAACCCAAUACCUUGGCUCAUAUACUCUAGGUUAAUGCUUUAGUGUUGGUGAAAUGGUUCAUGUUUAAAAAAAGAAAAAACACAAAACAGUGAUGAGAACUAGUCCAUUACCAAAGCCACUUGAUACAUAGCUCCCAGAGGAUGUAACCAUGAAUGACAAGAAACAGCAAGAAGCCAGCUUUUCACACCCAGUUGCAGAAAAGAAAUAACAUAUAGGGCAUUUUACAACAGUUAUUAAACUAUUUCAUAUACAGAAUGUCUUCAUAAUAAGAACCAGGGUUCAAAGUAACUCCUCCCCUACCCCACCAGUCUUUCUCUUCUUUUCAGAAAGAAAUAAACCCAGAUUCCAAUGCA